CUCCAAGGGUCUGUAAUUAAAAAUAAAUUCCCAUCUGGCUCCCCACUGUGUAGACCUCCUGUGUGGCCCUGUGAUACGCUACACUUCUCCAGUGUGGCACUAAACCCACUGUAUUACAAGUUCCUUUUGAUUUUUCUCUCUUCCCCUUGGACUACAAACUGAAAAGGUAGAUGAUAAAUACCUGUUGAAUUAAUGACUCCAGCAAGCAUUCAUUGGGAGCCAGUGUGUGGCCGGCAGUGUUCUCGGCACUGGGAACACAGCAAGGAGGGUACCUGUGGGCAGAACCCCGGACUCACAAAGGAAACAAGACAAGGAAAUAAAUGUCUGCCGUGUGUCAAAUGGUGAAUGAUUAAAUACGAUUAGAACUGUCAGCCCUCCGCAAGAGAAUCUAAACAACCCACCUAAACGUUCUCUGUCUACGAUUAAAAGACAAAGAGUUUGGAACCCUUGUGAUUACUUUGCAGAAGAAAGAUAUUAUGAGGACACAGUCUAAAACUUGACUCAGGCCAGUAUCAGGUUUUCAUCAGCUGGUAGUAGAAGAGGACAUCAGAAAGAGAAGAGACAGGAGAAGAUUCAACACCAUUUGCUGGCCUUGAAGACGGAGAGGACAAUGUACAGAGAUUGGAGACUGGCCUCUGGGACUGACUGACCCCUGGCCAACAGACAGCAAGGAAACAGGAACCUCAGGCCUACAACUGAGCAAACCAGAUAAGAGUUCAGAGGUGAACUCAAGCAGAGGACCCAGCCAAGCUCGUUCAACCUUCUGAUCUGCAGAACAGUGAACUAAUACAUGGAUGCUGUUUUAAGCCCUGAGUUUGUGGGAAUUUGUUCAGCAGCAGUGGAAAACUAACCCAAUAAUUAGCAGCCUUCAAGUGAGGCUUGAUCUAACUUGAUGCAUCAGAAGCUGCCCAGCAACCUUUAAAAAAAAUUUCAUUAUAUAAAAUCAAUUUUUAAAAUAAAAAAUGUAAAACAUUGGCACCUGCUUUUGAAUCAAUUAAUUUAUGAAACCAUUUUCUUUUGUAUAAUAUGCA